rnacentral:lncRNA from 1 species
CCCCUCCUUCCCUUACUGCCACUCCCUAAAGCAGGUAGGGGGUCUGUAAGUGGUUAGGGGGCUGUGCGGUGGAUGAAAGGUGGGUAGGGGGUGGGUAGGGGGCUGUGAAAAGGUAAAUACCUGGUGGUCCGGUUGGCAGCUUUCCCUGGUGGUCUGGUACUCCGUUUUGCAGCUCCGCCAGGUGCAGAGCUGCAGACCACGUGGUAAGUCUCGCGAUCUCUAGUCAGAGCGUUGCCGUGGUAUCCCGCAGCAACGCUCUUAUUGACUAGAGAUCGCAAGACACCUCAGUCUGCAGCUCUACAGCAGGCUGGCUCUCCUCCAGGGCAGGCGGAGUGGAGGGGCCUCGUAACCAGCGGCAUAAAGGGCAAGCCGCCGGACUCCUUCCUGUGUCAGGCCCUCGGUCUUUGACCAAGGACCCGACAUGUCACACUGCCCUAAGGUGAUUUAGGCGGUCGCCAACAUCGCCUAAUUAGAGAGCCGUCUCUGUCCUGCAGGACUACUAACGGGUACGGCGUUGCUGCUGUGGACUCGAGCCCUGCUGCUCAAGCAAAUGCUUCCUCGUUAGCCCGAGCAGCAAAGAGAGCAUAAGCUGCUGGGAACUCUCAUUUAGCAUAAAGGUUUAACUCUAAAUGUAAAGCUGGCAACAAGGGACACCAAAUAUUACAACCACUUCAAUGAAAUGAAACGGCUACAGAGCCUACAGUGUCCCUUUAACUCAUGUUGAGGGAAUAGUCAAAUGCCUUUCUAUCAUGACAGUCCUGACAUGCAAUCUACCAUAAUGUGUUAUAAUUAUUGAUUUGGGUUUAUUAAAGAGGAUAGGGCCAGGGAUAGCCAAUAUUUUUACCCCACAAAAUGCAGUCAAGGAGGCAAGCUGAACGAGGGCAUUGCAGCAGACUUAGUCGAUCUAGAAAAAGGUUGUUGCGUUUGAUUUAGCAAAAUUUGUAACACUGACAAUGGCACAUAUGGUGAAAUUACAUAGAUAGGGAGAAAUAGCAUGUAUACAAAAUAACCUGGCCCCAGUUAACUCUUAUAAAUAUCACUGACCUUUCAAAUUGAAUACAGAGUGAUAAGCUAUCAUUUAAUCUUUACCAUAAAACUGAAAAAAAUCUGUUUCAAUCCUGUGAUAAAGAAUUCCUAUAGUCACCCAGUCAUCUCAAUGAAGUGGUCUGGGUGCAGUGGCCGUGUCCUUUUAACCCUGCAGUGUAAAGCAUUGCAGUUUUUUGCAGUGGUUAAAUCUACUUAUAGCGGCUCUUAUACUGUCAGCCACUAGAAAUAAGAUAAGUAAAUUAUUUAUGGCAAACGAUGGGGGCCCUUAAUACAACUAGGCACAGGGGCACUGUAGCAUUGGAAUACAGGUUUAUAUUCUUAAGGCUUCAGUGUUCCUUUAACCGUAGGGUUGUACUACACAUGCCAGCAUCCUACACCUAAAACCAUUAAAUACCCAUCACAUUGCUAGCCUGUUCAUGCCUGCCUCUUUGACAAGCAGUCCUGCUCCCCGCACCUAUCAUAAUUGAAGGUAUACUUCCUGCUCCCCACACCCCCAAUAAUUGGAG